AAUUUUAUUUAGAAAUUUACCAGUAGCUGCUGCAUUUUCCACCCUAGUCUUAUACUCGAGUCAAUACGUUUUCCCAGUUUUUUGGGGUAAAAUUAGGGGCCUCGGCUUAUAUUCGGGUCGGCUUAUACUCGAGUAUAUACGGUAUAUGGUCAGAGCAGCAAAUGCAGGAAAUACAUCUACGACUACCAAAAUAAACAGUGUUCAUUGUGCCAGGUUCUAGUGAGUGAAACCCAUAAAGAGUUACUUUCAACACCAUGACCACUUCAGUGAUUUGAAGUGGUCAUGCUACCUGUAGUCUAUAGGUGCCGUGUUUUGCUUUGAGACUCUGCACAUUCCAAGUUUAACCCCUUUGCUAUCAGAGGUGUAACUCCACCUUCAGCAGUGUCAUUGGGUUGUCAUUCGACGUCCUGGAACAAGGGUCGUGGGCUGGCCAAUGGCAAUCCUAUGGAUAUGGGACAGCAUGCUGGUGACAGUUGUCUAAUGGCAGCAUGGUUCCCCUCUGUGCUGCCAAUGCCUUCCCCUCAGCCUGCCCUCCACAUAUCCGUUUCCCUCCUAUCAGUGGAGGGGGAAACCGAAACCUGGCGAUGUACUGGUGCUGGGAGUAUCUGUUUCAUUUUUAUGCUAAAUAUUUACUGAAUGAUAUCACAAUCUAGCUCAUUCGAGGCAUAGCCAGGGCAAACACUGUAGAUGAGAAGAAUAGAAACAUUGUUCCAUUUCUCCUCUUCUCUGUACUCUCUCUCAAUGCUGACUUCCAGGUGCAGAGCUUAUAACAAUGAUUGACAGAGAGUCAAGAUGGAGGCGCCCAGUUGCAGGAUAAAGAGGUGUAGCUUUUACAUUUAAUUUUACACAAUUCGCCAAUAUAUGUUUUGUUAAAUAUAGGGGAUAUCGAAACAAGUGUCAUCACCAGAUGGUAUAGCCACCUCUCCUUACAUCACUGCCAAAAUGCCCUGUGACAGAAACGCACUUAGAGAGAAUUUAGUGCGUCUAUGGAUCAACAUUACCUUUCAUUUCAAAUGCCACAUGAACAUUUGCAUCAUAUGUUGGAGGUGCUCAGUAUUAUAGAAACUAAGGGGAACGUGUUGGAACGCCAAAAUCCUCACAUUCCUCUGCUCUGCUGUCUAAUUGUAACAAUCUGUUUGUGAACUGAAUUUUUGUUCCCAAAUAUUUUUCCUGUUAAAUUUGUAAUAAAUUGUGUCUGAUGCCUUACUGUUAAUAGGUGUUUUCUCCAAUAAAAACCUGUAACCUCUCACUGUGUUCUGAGCACCUCUGUACCCUGUUGGUCAGAUAAUUACAGUUUAAAGUGAUCCAAGCGGUGGAUUUAAAUAGGAGCAUUAGAAUGAUAUCCAGCAGAUGGGGGAUUUGGUAAGAGAAAGUACAUGGCUAAAAUGGGCUUCUCAC